rfam:Felis catus isolate Cinnamon breed Abyssinian chromosome A1, whole genome shotgun sequence.
GACUGGUUGGCACAGUUGGUAGAGCAUGUGACUCUUGAUCUCAGGGUUGUGAGUUUGAGCCCCACAUUGGGUG